GUGAUUCCCAAAAUGGGCAAUGCUAGUACAAUCCCAGGACAGCUUCUACGUCCAAGACCAAACGGCAAGUACCUGAAGUCGUUACCGUUUGCUUCCACAUGCGCCUCUUCUUCAAGAAACCUCUCCGGCCUAAACUCUUCAGGUUUCUUCCAGCUCUCAGAGUUGUUCGCUAGCCACCAGGCAUUGACCAAGAUUUUGCUUUCUGCUGGGAUGUCAUAGCCAGCGAGCUUAGCGUCCUUGAGGUUCAUGUGUGGUACGAGGAGUGGUACACCCAUUCUUAGACGAAGUGUCUCCUUGAGCACGACUUGGAGGUAUGGAAGCUUGUGAAGGUCAGGCUCUGUGACUUGCACGCCUGGUCCAAGAACCGUGUCGAUUUCGUUUCUUAGCUUGCUCUGAAUCUCAGGAUGGUUCACUAGCUCCGCAAUUCCCCAUUCAAUAGACCAUAGUGUUGUCUCAAUAGCUGUUUCGGCAUAUAUUACCCAAGAAAUCAGCAUCAUAAAACUGUAUAAAUGUCCAUUAAGAUUCAAGUCUUUUUCAGGGGAGACAAGUGACAAUGCAAUUUGCCUACCCUACAAGGCUACAAGGAUAAUAAAAAGGAAAAGAUAAAAAAAAUUUCUUUUGAUUUUUUAAGUUUGUAAGUAAUUUUGGAUUUUAGAAUUUUUUUUUAUAACACAAACAUGUCCUCAAACCGAAGGAGACUGCAAAGAUUCGAACUAGAUCCGAACUUAACCCAAUUAUAUAUAUAUAUAUAUAUAUAUAAAUACCUGAAUGAUAGUUAAGACAUCUGCAAUAGGAAUACCUCAAAAAGUAUUUCCCAUAAAAUUAAUAUAAAAAACUAAAAAAAAAAUAGGAGACACAUGUAUUUAGUGAGAAUCUAUUUUUACCAAGGUACUCAAGAAACAAUGAUGAUUAAGUUUCUAACAUAUGGCAAUGUUUUAGUGGUGUAAAUUAAAAAAACAAAAAUUAUAAUUUUAUAUUAAUUACUACUUAUUUAUUAUUUUCUAAGAAACCCAUUCACAUUCAACCACUGCUGGUGCUAAACUUCUUCCCAAAAAAAUCCAAAAUCCAAACCGAACCUUAUCCGAAUAGGUAUCCGAACUCCUGACUACACUGAACCUGUGAAAGUGCAUAAAGGGUAAGGAAGUUAACCAGCUACGUUGAUGUUCUCGACGAUAUAAAGAACGUUGUCCGCAUUGAUUUCUCCCUUCUCUUCAGCUUCAAGGAUGUGAUCAAUGGCGUAUUUCACGCUUCCCGUAGGCUUAGCACUCGCAAUCUCCCUGUUUGGUUUCCUCAAAUGUCAAUUUCAAGAUCCCAAAAUGGAAAUACAUAAUCUAAAGAGACCACAAACUCACUUCCUCUCGUCUACAAAGUACUUCUUGAAGAGCGCUAGUCUUCUCUCUUUCACAUCUUGGCAGCUCUUCAAAUAGCCUCUAAGGAACGGCCUAAGGAUAGGAAUGAAAUCUCCAUAGUUAUACUCAAAGCUCUGAGUCAACCUGCUUCUCUCCCCGUUCAAGAACUUGAGCCGGAGGAGAAGAGGAUCAUCUUCACUCUCGAACCUUUUACCGAACAUAACACGGAACAUGUUGUUGUACAUCAUCAACUGCAAACGCUUCCUCGCCACGAUCCCUUUCGUGGCCGCGUCAGGGUUCUUCUUCACUUCCUCCACAACGCUCGCAGCUUCGAACUCCCAUCCUUCCCGGUUCUGCUGGACCACCUUGUUGGUGAAGAAGGGAACCGUCAUGAUACGUCUCAUCUUCCUCCAGUGCUCACCGUAGACAGUGAACACCAUGUCUUGUCCUUUCCCAGUGAAGAUGUCGUAGACGAUGUUUCUGUAUCUGGAUCCAAACUCUACACCUUGCGUUUGGAGCACUUCCUUGGCUAGAUCCGGUGAAGAGAUGACGACUAUGUCUCGUUGACCCAUCCUUAGGUGGAAAAGGUCUCCGAACUUCUUAGCGUAGUCCACGAGGUUACGGUGAUUUAGAUCAUUUCCGACUUCAAGCCAGUUUCCGAAGACCGGGAUUGGUAUAGGACCAGGAGGUAGCUUCAGUUUCUUGCUGCAGAGCUUGGAGAUCAUUUUGGCGAGAACCACCGCCAAGAAGACGGCGAUUAGAGGUUUCUCCAACAAGAGAAGGUCCAUUACACUUCACUCUCAGUAGAUAAUGAAAGCAGAAGAAGCUGAUGCUUUGCUGAGGAGCAAAUGUUAAAUGGGAGGCUGUGUAUGUGAGGCUUAAAAAAGAUGGAUAUGUUUGGUCGAAGAGAGUUAUUAUUUAUUUAAUCUAGGUAACUCAAGUUCGCUUUGUCCUUUCUAAUUUUUUAAUGUAAUUAAGAAACGUUUAAUGUAAUAUUUCCAAUGGUUAAACGACUAAUAUAAUGUUAUUUUCUCCAUUUCUUUCACGUUUGAAAAUGAGUUCAAGAAUGUUAGUUAAAGCUAGAAAAAAACUCCAAAUUAAAUAAUUUUUUGUUCAACAAUCAUGUGGGUUUGAAAGUAUACAACAACAAUAUCUAUUCAAAAUAGUGGGAACCACUAUUGGCUUAUUGCAACCCUUUAAAGACAUUUUACAUAUACUAGAGCCGGUGUCCGCGCUCCGCGCGGAUUACAUAUUUAAUUAAAGUAUGUUAAUAUUUGUGUUAAUAGAUUUCUACGCGUUUUCCUGGGAUUAAAACAAGACUUAUUCUUAGGUCCAACCUCUAGGUUCACCAAGCAAUAUGAUUAUUUUAUUUUAUAUUCGAUAUCUUUUAAAAAAGAAACAAAAUAUUGUCAAAUUAUAUUAUGUUUUUAAAAUUAAAAGGUAAAAAAAAUAGUAAUAAUUACAAAAAAAAAUAUUUUACGUCGUCAGCAUAACAUUAAACCCUAAACCCUAAAUUAUAAUUCCUAAACCUUUAAUCCUAAACCCUAAACCCUUGGAUAAACUCUAAACUCUAGGAUAAAUCCUAAACUCUAGGAUAAAUCCUAAACUCUAAAUCAAAAUCACUAUACACUAAAACAUUCAAGCGUUUAGGGUUUAGGGUUUUAGUGUUUUUUAUUUAGAGUUUAGGAUUUAUCCAAGGGUUUAGGGUUUACCCAAGGGUUUAGGGUUUACCCAAGGGUUUAGGGUUUAUCCAAAGGUUUAGGGUUUAGGAUUUAGGGUUUAGGGAUUAGGAUUUAGGGUUUAGUGUUUUGUUGAGAACAUUAAAAAUAUAUAUUUUUUUAAUUCUUUUUUUCUGUAACUAUUAUCUUUUUUUACUUAUUUAUUUUAAAAACAUAAUAUAAUUUGAGAAUAUUUUGUUUCCUUUUUUAAAAGAUAUCGAAUUUGAAAUAAUAAAAUCCUAUUGGUUGGUGAACCUAGAGGUUCACCCUAAGGGGUGACUCUUAAAACAAUGGUGAAGAGGUGCCGCAUGUUUGUAUAGAAAACGAUCAUCAUCUAAAAAUCUUCAUCACAAAAAUGUUUUUUUUUUUGCCAAAGUAUUUAAUUAUUCCUAUAUGUGUCUUCUAAGGGUGAAUGACGAAUCUGUUGAUACAGUUGGCAGCAUGAUUUUUUUAUUAAGAACUAAUUGUAAUUUCUUUCAUAAUUUGUAUUUUUAAAUAAAAAACAUAUUUUACUAAUAAUGUUUAUAUUUGUUUUAUUAGAGUUUUGUAACUAUAAAAUGAAUAAAAAUAUCUUUAUUUAGUACUUAUAUAAAAUUAUAUAGAGAUAGAUUAUUAAUUUAUGAUUAUGAUGGGACUAUAUAUUAAUUUGGAACAAAUAUUAAGCAACUCAAUUAGAUUCUUGCAAACCGGGGGAAAAGGAGUGGCCGGUCAUGUCGUCUGUAUUUUUACUUUUUCUCAAGUUUUUAAAACGUUUCGUAGCAAUAAACAAAAAUCAAAACGUAGCAUUUCAUUUACAUAUUUGGAAUCUUAUCAAAUAAGAUGUAACUUUUCUUUUUUUUGUGCACUUCAAAUUUAAUAAGAUGUAAAUAGUCAAAAAAAAAAAUAUAUAUAUAUAUAUAAAACAUAAUUUGUAUUUUAUAUUUGUUUUAUUAAAGUUUUAGAUUAAAGUAUUAAAUUAAUAUAUCAAUACUAAUAAUGUUUUUGAUUCAAAAAUGUACUUGUAAAUUCAAAAUUCCUCCCAUAAGCGGAGGAUCUUUGGCGGUUGGUUUGACCAUGGUAUUGAGGAACAAUCAAUCCUUAAACAAAGGAAAGAAUAUUUAAAUGUUAGGCAAAGUGAAAUGGUUGAUAAUAAAACAUAGUGAAAAAGGUCUCAACGGAUAAAAUGGAACCAUGAGAUUAAUUACAAACUAAAAUCUUAUAAAGCCAAAUAAAAACUAAAUAUUUUAUAUGACCGAUAGAUGUGAACUACAAUUGUAGUAGCUUAGCAGGCAGGAACUAUUAUAUUAAAUCAAAUUUUUUUGGCGGAGACCAAUAGCUAAAGACGGAAGAUUGUCGGUCUAUGUUUAAUCUUAACCAACUAAAAUCUUAUACGUUUGUUCGCACAGAUUAUCAAUAUGAAUCUAUUAUUAAAACAAUUGAAAAUAAACAGUGGAAGGUGAGCCAAACCCCACGUCCCCAACCGCAUACGGACUUAACUAUCCAACUCUUAAACAUAUCACUUAUGCCAAGAAAUUGACAAAAUUGUGACAUUCAAAUAUUGACUUACACAAAAUCUUGAACGGUUGGCGGUGGUGGUUUUUUCAGAGUGAGAGGGAAUGAAUAUAUGGUCUUCAGAUUAGAGUUCUUGAUCCUAAUGGUAGAAUAUAUGUUAUUUAAUUUUCAAUGAAUACAGUAGGCAUUUUUGGCAUGAAAUAUAACGAUUUCUUAAAAAUUAAAUUGUUCACCAGCUAUAAGAAUAUUAAGUAUGGGGCAAGUUAAAGUUGUAAAAAUCGAUUUUGAUUUAGGAUGGCAAAGAUGUGGUAGCUAGAAGACUAAUAAUCAACAAUCAAUGCAUGCAUUGUUUUAUUAUGAUGUAACUGGAGUUGAACCGGGUUAAACCGUGACUCUUCGCAUAUUUUAAUGGUUGGUUUUUUUUUUUUAAGUCCAGUCCAGAAUGACAUGGCAUAAUGGUUGGUUCUGAUUAUUUUGUUCAUGUGGCAAGGCUUAGGAGGCUAGGAUUUAGCUCCUUUUAUAUAGUAGGAUAACACAUCCAAUAGAUUUCACAAACAUCAUUAUCAUCCAUAAAGAAAAAGUCAUUUUGCAGAAACUACUUUUAUUUUAUUUUUUUGUAUAAAUUAUUUAAAAGGACCUUGGCUUCAUUACAAUUGUGGAGUGGUUAAGGAUGUGCAAGCUGAACUGUCCACCUUUCUCAGAAGUAUCAACUUUAGACUGUCCUGGAGGAGGAAGUAGCUCGAAGUUCUGUACCAACCUACCGAUAGUGAUUCCCAAAAUGGGCAACGCCAAUAUAAUCCCAGGACAGCUUCUACGUCCAACACCAAACGGCACAUACCUGAAGUCAUUACCAUUGGCUUCCACAUGCGCCUCUUCUUCAAAGAACCUCUCCGGCCUAAACUCUUCAGGUUUCUUCCAGCUCUCAGGGUUGUUCGCUAGCCACCAGGCAUUGACCAAGAUCUUGCUUUCCGCUGGGAUGUCGUAGCCAGCCAGCUUAGCGUCGUUGAGGUUCAUGUGUGGCACAAGGAGAGGUAUAGCCAUUCUUAGUCUAAGCGUCUCCUUGAUCACGGCUUGGAGGUAGGGAAGCUUGUGCAGCUCAGGCUCUGUGAUUUGAACGCCUGGUCCAAGAACCGUAUCGAUUUCGUUCCUUAGCUUGCUCUGGAUCUCAGGAUGGUUCACUAGCUCCGCUAUUCCCCACUCGAUAGACCACAAUGUUGUCUCAAUAGCUGUUUCACCACAAAUAACAAACUUAGUAUAGCCAUUACAAGAAAAGAAAACAAAAUAUAGCCAUUACAAGUAGGUAUCCAGCUCCUUUAGGUGUGUGACACAUAAACAUAUUGGUUGUUAAUGGACUGGCCAUAACGCUUUAUAUAUUAUUUAAAGUACUAUUAAAUUUCCAAUGUGGAAUACUUAUCCUUAAUAAAACAUAACAAUCUCAAUAGUUUCCUACGCAAGCAAGAAAUAUCUAGAGGAUUGGUUACGUAUUCUACAAGGAACAAAAACAGGGUAAGGUAAGUUACCAGCGACAUUGAUGUUCUCGACGAUGUAAAGAACGUUGUCCUCGUUGAUCUCUCCCUUCUGUUGAGCUUCAAUGAUAUGAUCAAUGGCGCAUUUCAAUCCUUCGCUUCCUGUAGGCUUCGAACUUGCGAUUU
rnacentral:lncRNA from 1 species